rnacentral:misc_RNA from 1 species
AAUUAAAGAUCUUUCAAUCUGAGAAUUUGCAUUUAAACUCAACACAUCAUCUCCCAACAAAAUCCCGUUCCAUGAAACUUUUCUCUUCGCCUCUGCAACUACUUCUCCAUUGAUGUUGAUUAUUCUGAAAGCCAGUUUCCCAUCCAUUUUCACCAAUGAAAAUCUCUCAAAUCCCACAUUUAUUUCACAUACCGAUUGAUUUCUCUUCCUCGAUCCUGAUCUGUACAAUUUCUUCACUCCAAAACUAGGCUUCUUACUUCUCUCCGAUUCGAUCCAUCGGUAUCCUUCCCAUCCUCCAAGAAUCGAGAAUUUCUUUUUCCUGAUGGUGAAGAGAACUUUGCCUCUGAGAUCCAUGAGAAAUACUUCGCGACUGCAUUUUCUGUCGUAGUUAUCGACUCUGUAGACGAUGUCGCCAUUGGAAUCGAAGACGGUGCAGCCAUUUGUGUGGUAAAUCAGAGAUUUCAUCCAAAUGGUGAAGGUUUCGAUUUCGGUUUCGGAACAGAGCGAUGAAGACGACGGAGAUGACGACGGCGACGGCGCUGUUUGAGGGUACACUUUGGCCAUUGAGAUGGAAGAGAGAAAAUAAGGUUUGAAA